AAGGGAUACAGAUAUGAAAUGAUUUACUUCUGGGAAAUGCUCUUGUAAGCAUUUGCAGGAAUAGUUCUGGUUACUAGAGGGGUGGUUUAUUUUAGGCACCUAUGUAUGGGGAGGAGUGAACAAGUUGGUGGGGAUGAAAAUAAAAAGGGAAGUGGUAGCGGACAGGAACAGGGAUCUCAUUCAUCAGACUCAGAAGCCUCAAGGAUGAGAAGAGAAAUUCCGGGGUGGCUGCCCGUUACUCAGCAAGAAGGCGAACACUGGUUUGCUGCCUCAGCACUUAACCCGAGAGAAGGAUAUCCUAACAGCCCUUUUUCUCUAAGGGGUAGGGUAGGGUACGGUAGGGUGGGGCCAAAAGGAGAGGAGGAGGAAGGCCUGCCUCCCUGGAGGUCUGCAGGACUCAGCAGCAGAGACGGCCUUGCACCAGCGCUCCGCUCGGUUCCAGAAUAUACCCUAUUUCUGCCCAUCAAUCAGCAUUAAGCCAGUUUGGAGCUGAGCUUCAGGCACAGGCAGUUGCCAGUAGCAACAGGGCACAGGCUCUCGGUCAGAAUUAAAACUGCAUACAUCAUGGAGACUUUACAGCUGAGGCAAAGUGGAGUUCAAGUGUUACCUUCCCAAUAAGUAAAUCGUGUAAGUCAAGGACAGUUACUGGUCAGAUUUUACAAUACUUUUAUGAAUAUUUAAAAGUUUGGAGUUUUUCAUUGAUAAUUUGUUUAAUGUGCUUAUCGGUAUUAAAUAAAAAUUUUGCUAAAAUUAA